GGCGAACGCUGGCGGCGUGCUUAACACAUGCAAGUCGAACGGAAAGGCCCUGCUUUUGUGGGGUGCUCGAGUGGCGAACGGGUGAGUAACACGUGAGUAACCUGCCCUUGACUUUGGGAUAACUUCAGGAAACUGGGGCUCAUACCGGAUAGGAGCUCCUGCUGCAUGGUGGGGGUUGGAAAGUUUCGGCGGUUGGGGAUGGACUCGCGGCUUAUCCGCUUGUUGGUGGGGUAGCGGCUUACCAAGGCUUUGACGGGUAGCCGGCCUGAGAGGGUGACCGGCCACAUUGGGACUGAGAUACGGCCCAGACUCCUACGGGAGGCAGCAGUGGGGAAUAUUGCACAAUGGGCGGAAGCCUGAUGCAGCAACGCCGCGUGCGGGAUGACGGCCUUCGGGUUGUAAACCGCUGUCGCCUGUGACGAAGCGUGAGUGACGGUAAUGGGUAAAGAAGCACCGGCUAACUACGUG
rnacentral:rRNA from 1 species